rnacentral:rRNA from 1 species
UUAAGCGACUAAGCGUACACGGUGGAUGCCCUGGCAGUCAGAGGCGAUGAAGGACGUGCUAAUCUGCGAUAAGCGUCGGUAAGGUGAUAUGAACCGUUAUAACCGGCGAUUUCCGAAUGGGGAAACCCAGUGUGUUUCGACACACUAUCAUUAACUGAAUCCAUAGGUUAAUGAGGCGAACCGGGGGAACUGAAACAUCUAAGUACCCCGAGGAAAAGAAAUCAACCGAGAUUCCCCCAGUAGCGGCGAGCGAACGGGGAGCAGCCCAGAGCCUGAAUCAGUGUGUGUGUUAGUGGAAGCGUCUGGAAAGGCGCGCGAUACAGGGUGACAGCCCCGUACACAAAAAUGCACAUACUGUGAGCUCGAUGAGUAGGGCGGGACACGUGGUAUCCUGUCUGAAUAUGGGGGGACCAUCCUCCAAGGCUAAAUACUCCUGACUGACCGAUAGUGAACCAGUACCGUGAGGGAAAGGCGAAAAGAACCCCGGCGAGGGGAGUGAAAAAGAACCUGAAACCGUGUACGUACAAGCAGUGGGAGCCUCUUUUAUGGGGUGACUGCGUACCUUUUGUAUAAUGGGUCAGCGACUUAUAUUCUGUAGCAAGGUUAACCGAAUAGGGGAGCCGAAGGGAAACCGAGUCUUAACCGGGCGUUAAGUUGCAGGGUAUAGACCCGAAACCCGGUGAUCUAGCCAUGGGCAGGUUGAAGGUUGGGUAACACUAACUGGAGGACCGAACCGACUAAUGUUGAAAAAUUAGCGGAUGACUUGUGGCUGGGGGUGAAAGGCCAAUCAAACCGGGAGAUAGCUGGUUCUCCCCGAAAGCUAUUUAGGUAGCGCCUCGUGAAUUCAUCUCCGGGGGUAGAGCACUGUUUCGGCAAGGGGGUCAUCCCGACUUACCAACCCGAUGCAAACUGCGAAUACCGGAGAAUGUUAUCACGGGAGACACACGGCGGGUGCUAACGUCCGUCGUGAAGAGGGAAACAACCCAGACCGCCAGCUAAGGUCCCAAAGUCAUGGUUAAGUGGGAAACGAUGUGGGAAGGCCCAGACAGCCAGGAUGUUGGCUUAGAAGCAGCCAUCAUUUAAAGAAAGCGUAAUAGCUCACUGGUCGAGUCGGCCUGCGCGGAAGAUGUAACGGGGCUAAACCAUGCACCGAAGCUGCGGCAGCGACACUGUGUGUUGUUGGGUAGGGGAGCGUUCUGUAAGCCUGUGAAGGUGUACUGUGAGGUAUGCUGGAGGUAUCAGAAGUGCGAAUGCUGACAUAAGUAACGAUAAAGCGGGUGAAAAGCCCGCUCGCCGGAAGACCAAGGGUUCCUGUCCAACGUUAAUCGGGGCAGGGUGAGUCGACCCCUAAGGCGAGGCCGAAAGGCGUAGUCGAUGGGAAACAGGUUAAUAUUCCUGUACUUGGUGUUACUGCGAAGGGGGGACGGAGAAGGCUAUGUUGGCCGGGCGACGGUUGUCCCGGUUUAAGCGUGUAGGCUGGUUUUCCAGGCAAAUCCGGAAAAUCAAGGCUGAGGCGUGAUGACGAGGCACUACGGUGCUGAAGCAACAAAUGCCCUGCUUCCAGGAAAAGCCUCUAAGCAUCAGGUAACAUCAAAUCGUACCCCAAACCGACACAGGUGGUCAGGUAGAGAAUACCAAGGCGCUUGAGAGAACUCGGGUGAAGGAACUAGGCAAAAUGGUGCCGUAACUUCGGGAGAAGGCACGCUGAUAUGUAGGUGAAGUCCCUCGCGGAUGGAGCUGAAAUCAGUCGAAGAUACCAGCUGGCUGCAACUGUUUAUUAAAAACACAGCACUGUGCAAACACGAAAGUGGACGUAUACGGUGUGACGCCUGCCCGGUGCCGGAAGGUUAAUUGAUGGGGUCAGCGCAAGCGAAGCUCUUGAUCGAAGCCCCGGUAAACGGCGGCCGUAACUAUAACGGUCCUAAGGUAGCGAAAUUCCUUGUCGGGUAAGUUCCGACCUGCACGAAUGGCGUAAUGAUGGCCAGGCUGUCUCCACCCGAGACUCAGUGAAAUUGAACUCGCUGUGAAGAUGCAGUGUACCCGCGGCAAGACGGAAAGACCCCGUGAACCUUUACUAUAGCUUGACACUGAACAUUGAGCCUUGAUGUGUAGGAUAGGUGGGAGGCUUUGAAGUGUGGACGCCAGUCUGCAUGGAGCCGACCUUGAAAUACCACCCUUUAAUGUUUGAUGUUCUAACGUGGACCCGUGAUCCGGGUUGCGGACAGUGUCUGGUGGGUAGUUUGACUGGGGCGGUCUCCUCCUAAAGAGUAACGGAGGAGCACGAAGGUUGGCUAAUCCUGGUCGGACAUCAGGAGGUUAGUGCAAUGGCAUAAGCCAGCUUGACUGCGAGCGUGACGGCGCGAGCAGGUGCGAAAGCAGGUCAUAGUGAUCCGGUGGUUCUGAAUGGAAGGGCCAUCGCUCAACGGAUAAAAGGUACUCCGGGGAUAACAGGCUGAUACCGCCCAAGAGUUCAUAUCGACGGCGGUGUUUGGCACCUCGAUGUCGGCUCAUCACAUCCUGGGGCUGAAGUAGGUCCCAAGGGUAUGGCUGUUCGCCAUUUAAAGUGGUACGCGAGCUGGGUUUAGAACGUCGUGAGACAGUUCGGUCCCUAUCUGCCGUGGGCGCUGGAGAACUGAGGGGGGCUGCUCCUAGUACGAGAGGACCGGAGUGGACGCAUCACUGGUGUUCGGGUUGUCAUGCCAAUGGCACUGCCCGGUAGCUAAAUGCGGAAGAGAUAAGUGCUGAAAGCAUCUAAGCACGAAACUUGCCCCGAGAUGAGUUCUCCCUGACCCUUUAAGGGUCCUGAAGGAACGUUGAAGACGACGACGUUGAUAGGCCGGGUGUGUAAGCGCAGCGAUGCGUUGAGCUAACCGGUACUAAUGAACCGUGAGGCUUAACCU